GAACGCUGGCGGCGUGCUUAACACAUGCAAGUCGAACGGUGAAGCGCCUUCCUUUUUGGUGGGUGUGGAUGAGUGGCGAACGGGUGAGUAACACGUGAGUAACCUGCCCCCUUCUUCUGGAUAACCGCAUGAAAGUGUGGCUAAUACGGGAUAUUCUGGGUCUGUCGCAUGAUGGGUCUGGGAAAGAUAUUGUUUCGGUGGGGGAUGGGCUCGCGGCCUAUCAGCUUGUUGGUGGGGUGAUGGCCUACCAAGGCGGUGACGGGUAGCCGGCCUGAGAGGGUGGACGGUCACACUGGGACUGAGACACGGCCCAGACUCCUACGGGAGGCAGCAGUGGGGAAUAUUGCACAAUGGGCGCAAGCCUGAUGCAGCGACGCCGCGGGAGGGAUGGAGGCCUUCGGGUUGUGAACCUCUUUCGCCAGUGAAGCAGGCCUGCCUCGUUUGUGGGUGGGUUGACGGUAGCUGGAUAAGAAGCGCCGGCUAACUACGUG
rnacentral:rRNA from 1 species